rnacentral:lncRNA from 1 species
UUUGAAAGUGCAAUAUGAUGUUCAAAAUACAAUUUUAGUGGUACUUGAACUUUAGAACUGGGUUGACAAAGCUCGAAUCAUCAUGAGCACUUCCAAAUCCACCUAGGUUUGUCAAACCUGUUUAAAUCACUAUGAGCAACAUGAUCAACAAGAUCAAAACUAGCUCCACUUGAGCUACUGAAAGAUUUCCUAAUAUUAUUAUUCGAAUCACAACGAACAACAAAUCACAAUCGACUCCAUCAAAGUCAUCGCUUAUCAAACCAUAAGCUGCUGCUGCAUCCAAAGUGAUCGUGGAACCUUCCAAGAUAUAUAACAAAUCCUUACAUUGCUUCUCCUCCAACAUCCAAAUUAAAAAAAAAAAAAAUCCGCCAUAACAAAAAUAUCUUGUUACGAUCCAAAAGUGGAACUUAAAUUUCAUACUUACCAUCUCUGGAACAAUCAAUCUUGUUCAAACCUCACUUUAAUAACCAAUUUGGCCUACAAGAACCACCAAAACCUUGGUUUUGAUACCAAUUAUUAGAAACAAAAAAGUUACUAGAAUUGCUUUGAUACCACUUGUUGUAAUUCGAACCAAAUCCAAAAUCACUUUGUUGAAAGUGGAACAGCUCUGAUAACAAUUUAUUGAGAAUCCGACCAAGUAAUUAAAGAACAAAAAAAAGAGUAAUAUGAAAAAAAGGGAUCAAAAAGAAAACAAAAUUUAUGUGGAAACUCAAAUCCAGGAAACCCAUGGGCAGAAGCGGAGAAUUUACUAUAAUCAAUGGUAAGGAAUUACAAAGGAUCUUUUCGGACCGAUAACUAAUUGGGACAAUUGGUCAAGCAAAGAACUUGAAUCGAAGAAUUAUUUUAUUGAAGAACAAAAUUUUGAAUACAAAUCUUGUACAGAUGUUUCAAAAGAUAAUUAAUAUUUGAAAAAAAUAAAAAAAUCUUCAAAUAGAAGGAAAUCUAAGCUUUUCUUGAAUAAGUUUUUCUCCCACUAUAAACUCUUUUUCUUCCUCUUGAACCUUGAUAUGCUUUUAUACUUGAACUCCAUACUUGAAAUCUU